GAUGAACGCUAGCGGCAGGCCUAACACAUGCAAGUCGAGGGGUAACAGGAGGUGCUUGCACCUUGCUGACGACCGGCGCACGGGUGCGCAACGCGUAUAGAACCUACCUCUUACUGAGGAAUAGCCCAGAGAAAUUUGGAUUAAUGCCUCAUGGUAUAUUAGAUUGGCAUCAAUUUAAUAUUAAAGGUUACGGUAAGAGAUGGCUAUGCGUCCCAUUAGUUAGUUGGUAAGGUAACGGCUUACCAAGGCAUCGAUGGGUAGGGGCCCUGAGAGGGGGAUCCCCCACACUGGUACUGAGACACGGACCAGACUCCUACGGGAGGCAGCAGUGAGGAAUAUUGGACAAUGGGCGAGAGCCUGAUCCAGCCAUGCCGCGUGCAGGAAGACUGCCCUAUGGGUUGUAAACUGCUUUUAUACGGGAAGAAAAAAGGGUACGUGUACCCUACUGACGGUACCGUAAGAAUAAGGACCGGCUAACUCCG
rnacentral:rRNA from 1 species